rnacentral:rRNA from 2 species
AAAUUGAAGAGUUUGAUCAUGGCUCAGAUUGAACGCUGGCGGCAGGCCUAACACAUGCAAGUCGAACGGUAACAGGAAGCAGCUUGCUGCUUCGCUGACGAGUGGCGGACGGGUGAGUAAUGUCUGGGAAACUGCCUGAUGGAGGGGGAUAACUACUGGAAACGGUGGCUAAUACCGCAUAACGUCGCAAGACCAAAGAGGGGGACCUUCGGGCCUCUUGCCAUCAGAUGUGCCCAGAUGGGAUUAGCUAGUUGGUGAGGUAACGGCUCACCAAGGCGACGAUCCCUAGCUGGUCUGAGAGGAUGACCAGCCACACUGGAACUGAGACACGGUCCAGACUCCUACGGGAGGCAGCAGUGGGGAAUAUUGCACAAUGGGCGCAAGCCUGAUGCAGCCAUGCCGCGUGUAUGAAGAAGGCCUUCGGGUUGUAAAGUACUUUCAGCGGGGAGGAAGGUGUUGUGGUUAAUAACCGCAGCAAUUGACGUUACCCGCAGAAGAAGCACCGGCUAACUCCGUGCCAGCAGCCGCGGUAAUACGGAGGGUGCAAGCGUUAAUCGGAAUUACUGGGCGUAAAGCGCACGCAGGCGGUCUGUCAAGUCGGAUGUGAAAUCCCCGGGCUCAACCUGGGAACUGCAUUCGAAACUGGCAGGCUUGAGUCUUGUAGAGGGGGGUAGAAUUCCAGGUGUAGCGGUGAAAUGCGUAGAGAUCUGGAGGAAUACCGGUGGCGAAGGCGGCCCCCUGGACAAAGACUGACGCUCAGGUGCGAAAGCGUGGGGAGCAAACAGGAUUAGAUACCCUGGUAGUCCACGCCGUAAACGAUGUCUACUUGGAGGUUGUGCCCUUGAGGCGUGGCUUCCGGAGCUAACGCGUUAAGUAGACCGCCUGGGGAGUACGGCCGCAAGGUUAAAACUCAAAUGAAUUGACGGGGGCCCGCACAAGCGGUGGAGCAUGUGGUUUAAUUCGAUGCAACGCGAAGAACCUUACCUGGUCUUGACAUCCACAGAACUUUCCAGAGAUGGACUGGUGCCUUCGGGAACUGUGAGACAGGUGCUGCAUGGCUGUCGUCAGCUCGUGUUGUGAAAUGUUGGGUUAAGUCCCGCAACGAGCGCAACCCUUAUCCUUUGUUGCCAGCGGUUAGGCCGGGAACUCAAAGGAGACUGCCAGUGAUAAACUGGAGGAAGGUGGGGAUGACGUCAAGUCAUCAUGGCCCUUACGACCAGGGCUACACACGUGCUACAAUGGCGCAUACAAAGAGAAGCGACCUCGCGAGAGCAAGCGGACCUCAUAAAGUGCGUCGUAGUCCGGAUUGGAGUCUGCAACUCGACUCCAUGAAGUCGGAAUCGCUAGUAAUCGUGGAUCAGAAUGCCACGGUGAAUACGUUCCCGGGCCUUGUACACACCGCCCGUCACACCAUGGGAGUGGGUUGCAAAAGAAGUAGGUAGCUUAACCUUCGGGAGGGCGCUUACCACUUUGUGAUUCAUGACUGGGGUGAAGUCGUAACAAGGUAACCGUAGGGGAACCUGCGGUUGGAUCACCUCCUUACCUUAAAGAA